rnacentral:rRNA from 1 species
CAGCCGUAAACUAUGCGCGUUAGGUGUAUCGGUGACCACGAGUCACCGAGGUGCCGAAGGGAAACCGUGAAACGUGCCGCCUGGGAAGUACGGUCGCAGGGCUGAAACUUAAAGGAAUUGGCGGGGGAGCACCACAACAGGUGGAGCCUGCGGUUUAAUUGGACUCAACGCCGGGAAGCUCACCGGAUAGGACAGCAGAAUGAUUGCCGGGCUGAAGACCCUGCAUGACUAGCUGAGAGGAGGUGCAUGGCGUAGACGUCU